rnacentral:rRNA from 1 species
UCUACGGGAGGCAGCAGUAAGGAAUAUUGGUCAAUGGACGAAAGUCUGAACCAGCCAUGCCGCGUGGAGGAUGAAGGUCCUCUGGAUUGUAAACUUCUUUUAUUUGGGACGAAAAAAGGCCUUUCUAGGUCGUCUGACGGUACCAGAUGAAUAAGCACCGGCUAACUCCGUGCCAGCAGCCGCGGUAAUA